GCGCGAAAACUCUGCAAUAAGCGAAAGCUUGACAGGGUUAUUCUGAGUGAUUUCCGCUAAGGAAAUCUUUUGGCACCUCUAAAAAUGGUGCAGAAUAAGGGGUGGGCAAGCCUGGUGUCAGCCGCCGCGGUAAUACCAGCACCCCGAGUGGUCGGGACGAUUAUUGGGCCUAAAGCAUCCGUAGCCGGUUCUACAAGUCUUCCGUUAAAUCCACCUGCUCAACAGUUGGGCUGCGGAGGAUACUAUAGAGCUAGGAGGCGGGAGAGGCAAGCGGUACUCAGUGGGUAGGGGUAAAAUCCGUUGAUCCAUUGAAGACCACCAGUGGCGAAGGCGGCUUGCCAGAACGCACUCGACGGUGAGGGAUGAAAGCUGGGGGAGCAAACCGGAUUAGAUACCCGGGUAGUCCCAGCUGUAAACGAUGCAGACUCGGUGAUGAAUAGGCUUCGUGCCUAUUCAGUGCCGCAGGGAA
rnacentral:rRNA from 1 species